rnacentral:misc_RNA from 1 species
AACGCAUAUUGCGCUCUUUGGUAUUCCGAAGAGCAUGCUUGUUUGAGUAUCAGUAAACACCUCAAAGCUUUUGGAUUUUUUUUUGAAAGUUUUGGACUUGAGCAAUCCCAACACCAAUCUUUUUCAGAUCGGUGGCGGGUUGCUUGAAAUGCAGGUGCAGCUGGACAUUCUCCUGAGCUAAAAGCAUAUUCAUUUAGUCCCGUCAAACGGAUUAUUACUUUUGCUGCAGCUAACAUAAAGGGAGUUUGACCGUAUUGGCUGACUGAUGCAGGAUUUCACAAGGGUCGGCAACGAUUCUUGUUAAACUCGAUCUCAAAUCAAGUAAGACUACCCGCUGAACUUAA